UGGGGAAUUUUGGACAAUGGGCGAAAGCCUGAUCCAGCAAUGCCGCGUGUGUGAAGAAGGCCUUCGGGUUGUAAAGCACUUUUGUCCGGAAAGAAAUCCUUGGCUCUAAUACAGUCGGGGGAUGACGGUACCGGAAGAAUAAGCACCGGCUAACUACGUGCCAGCAGCCGCGGUAAUACGUAGGGUGCAAGCGUUAAUCGGAAUUACUGGGCGUAAAGCGUGCGCAGGCGGUUUGCUAAGACCGAUGUGAAAUCCCCGGGCUCAACCUGGGAACUGCAUUGGUGACUGGCAGGCUAGAGUAUGGCAGAGGGGGGUAGAAUUCCACGUGUAGCAGUGAAAUGCGUAGAGAUGUGGAGGAAUACCGAUGGCGAAGGCAGCCCCCUGGGCCAAUACUGACGCUCAUGCACGAAAGCGUGGGGAGCAAACAGGAUUAGAUACCCUGGUAGUCCACGCCCUAAACGAUGUCAACUAGUUGCCGGGUCUUCAUUGACUUGGUAACGUAGCUAACGCGUGAAGUUGACCGCCUGGGGAGUACGGUCGCAAGAUUAAAACUUAAAUGAAUUGACGGGGUCAUAGCUGUUUCCU
rnacentral:rRNA from 1 species